rnacentral:misc_RNA from 1 species
UAAUAAGUGUUUUAUGGCACUUUUUAAAUCCAUAUCCACCUUGUGUGCAAUGUCAGUCGAUCUUCUUCAUGGAGAUCGACCAAACAUCAACCUUUAUCUUUUAACUCUUUGUCUGAAAAAUAUUAUGAAUAAACAAGUCAAAAUA